UCUCCUUCCUCUCCCUCUCGACCGCGUUCUCUCUCUUUCUCUCCCUGACCUCUCGCUCCCUCUCUUUUCUUCUUCCCUCUACAACCACCGGAGAACACCAUCUCCGGCCACUAUCUCACCACACUGCCACCUCCAAUCGAUCCAACACCCAAAUCCGACCUAAACCCGAGCCCAGCACCACCAUGCAUCAUCUCCAGCCUCCACACGCGACCACCAAACCUGCGACACCACUGCCAUCCUUAAUCCUUUGAUCUCCAGUCAUUAAUUCACACCACCACUAUCAGAAAUUGAAGCACCAAGCCAUAAAGAGCAAAGCCCGAACCAUAGCCUCAAACUCUGAAGCUGGAAAACGCCGUACGAGCUCGCCGGAACUCAAGGCUCUGCAUGUCUUCGUUUUUCGGCCUCCAGUUCGAAACGAGCGAAGCCACCUCUAAGGAUAGAAUCAGCACCUCAAAUUCCUCCAAAGCCCUCCAGUUUUGGCCUCCAGCUCCGGCAAACACUGCUGCAAGCACCGCGACUGGCGCUUGAGCCAUCAAGAGAUGCCUUGAGCGCUACCAGCUUACUCUCUUCGUCCAGUAAGCUUGAUUUCGUCCCUUUUCAUUGGUCAAGCCCAUAUUUCGAUUUGGAUUGAUAGACUCUAAUUCGAUUGUUAAUUUGGGAUUGUGUGAGGUUUUGUGGAAUCUGAGUUUUUGAAGAAUUUGGAGAGGAGAAGUGUUGGGUCAGUUUCCAUUGAGAAUGGGCUGAGGUAUUUCAAAACGGUUGUCGAUGGUGGAGUGCAGCUACAAUGGGUUUCUACUUUGGAAAGGAGAAUGGACUCGAGCAUGUGCACAUGGAAUUGGACGAAGUAUCCAAAGUCGGAAACGAAACUAGCUUGUGUGAGCACUCCAUAUCCAGUGUACAGGUUUCGAGUAUGUGGUCGGGGAGUAUACAGAGGAAGCACAUGGCUCGGCUUAGCCCAUUUCUCUUUGACUUUGUUAAAAGAGGGUUUUGGUCCCUUAUUGGAUUUUUUUUAAGUAACUAAUUUCUUUAAUUAUUUAUUUUCUACUCGCUUAUUUACAAAAUUUUGGGAGACCAGUAACCAUGGGGCGCGUCUCUCAUACUUGUAUUUACCUAGUGAUUUGUUAUUUUCCAAAUUGGGCUCCUAUUGUAAGCCCAAAUCUUUUAGCCCACUUUAAAUUCCGCUUUCGAAGAUCUAUUAUUCGGUUGCUAGAAUGUUUUGUGACUUUUGUCCAAGAAAGUGUUUUGUAAACUAACAGUCUAAACCCAAAAAGGCCUUGCGAUUUGGGGUUGAUGAGUUAUUGGGAUGUCAUUUGUGACAUGUCGGUUUCUCAUUGGCUCGGGGUCGCGGCGCUGUGGAACCCCUCUUUCGGGUCACCACAGAUUUCUCUCCACUCAAGAGUCUUGGCUGCCUUUUCAAACACUGAAAUCUGAGCUACUAAGUACAACUGUAUAGCUACUUCCGUUGUAUGAUUGAAAACUAGGAGCUAAAUUUUGAGGAAGCUCGCUUGAAUCUCUUCUACUAGGUACACCUAGUGCAAGCUAUAGAAAUUGUUCAAUAGAUUUAAGCAAUUCUGUUGUCUGAACUAGGAACAUAGGCGGCAAGAUUUUGAGCCAAAAUGCAGUAAGCGACAUGUUUCCCUCCAUGUUUUGACAUUUUGAUUUUAUGUUAGUGCAGUCAUACGACAGUUUCUUAUGUUUCUGUUGUAGGAGUGACCUUGAGACUUUUUGGUGGGUUUAAUUAACUGCCACAUCGUGUCCAAAAGAAAAGAAAAAAAAAAACCUAGCAUUUAGCUUCUCGACACUCUCUUAGUCCUCUCUCUCUCUCUCUCUCUCUCUCUCUCUCUCUCGUGAACCUCCGUAAUACCCCGAAAAUUCGUUAUUAAUUUCUCGAAAUUUUCAGAAUUAAUAAAGUGUUCGUAAGUACGAUUUCGUGGUUCGAGUAUAGAGCGAAAUUGUUUCGGACAAUUAAUCAUUCGAAAUACACGUUUUAGGGGGGUUACAAAGUUUGACUUUUUAUACAUUAGGAUUUUGUGAAAACUUCCUUCACGGAAAUCGUAGAGCGCGUCGAUACGAGUUCUUGCAUAUGCAGAAAGCGAAAAUUGGAGUUUGUAAGAAGAAGUUAUGGUCAUUGGAAAAAGUUUCAAUUUUGGGAUUUAUAGGAAAAAUCCAAAUUUUUUUUUUUUUUCAGAAAAUCAAAAUUUCCAAAUUUGGAAACUCAUUCUCUCUCUUCCAGCUUGACCACAUUUCGGCCGCCCGACUUGCGGCGGUGAUAUCUCUCAGCUCCGGUCACCAAUCGACACAAUUCUUGUCCCUAUCUCUUCGCCUCACUCCCAUCUAUAACUCUGUGAAGUUUCACGAUGUGGCUCGGCCCGUGCAUGCUUCAGCAAUGCCGAGUAGUGGUGGCGACACUGCAACAUUUCGCCAUCUUAGAACUCACGAUUCCGGCUAACUCUGAUAGGAGAGUAGCUCCUAACAAGGAAAUGCAAGAAAAUGAAAGCAAGGCAAAUAAGAAAUUAAAAGAGAUAAUUCUUCAUUGAUUGUGGCCUCCCUAACAUUUACAACUUAUACUGAAAUUAAAGCUAGUAGAUCUUGACACUUGUCAAAGAUCAGGACAUAAAGAAAACCCUAGACAACAAACCCUAUCUGAACUAGCCAUGUACCACACAUGUGCACGUCCACAAAAGAUACCUGAUGGCUAAAUACAAAACGGUGCGUAUAGAAUGACAAGGUCAGCUAAGUCAACAACAACAGUCUUAGCAAUAUUGGAAACUAUUCACUACAGAAUCAUAACAAACUCUUGCCAAAUUAGGAGGGGAGACCAACUGGGCUUUGUUCGUCUUGCCAUACUCUACAAACUCACGAAGUUUCACAUCUCAAUUCAACCCAAGGAAGACGAAUUUUGGAUUUGAGCGAUUAUGGGUGAUUUCGACCUCUUUCUUUUUUAGGUAAAUUUCGGCCUCUAGACUUAAAAUUUGACUUUGGUGUAGUUAUGAAAAUUGUAAUUAGAGUUGAGAUGAAGAACUUUUGUGUUGGAUGUUUUGUCAAAUUUUGACUUUGGGCUGACUUUGGGCCGAGGGCGGGGCCGCCACUAUGGUGGUGGUUUCCAACCACUUCCGGCCACCCCUGGAACAAUUUAUGUUCCUCUUUUUAUUCUACACAUCGAUACGAUCAUUUCGAUAUAUAUUUUGUAAUUUUUGGAAAUUGUAUAAGCAAGUUAUGAAUUUUCAAAGUUUUAGGGUUUUCGGUUCGAUCGGUUUUUUAUCCGAGAGGAUUCGGCCGUCCGAUUGACUUGUAGUUUUGAAAUGUUGAUCGUAUAAGUAUUCUGGAGACCUCGAGUGGUCUCGGAUGAAGUUUCGCCUCAAUCGGCAUUACUUUCGGAAUUUUAGGGCAAAUGGGAGUUCGAAAUAUAAUUGUUUUCGAUUCGUGGACU